rnacentral:lncRNA from 1 species
GUCCCUUUAGAGAUUAACUUGUAAUAGGUUGCAAAGGCUCUUCCUUAUUCCGGCAGCACAGUGCACACUGAUUGUGUGUGGUACAUGAAUCCCGGCCUCAGAAGUAUGAAGAGGAAUGAGGACCCAUCUUUGACAGCCUUAGAUUCUAGCUUCAGAGGUAAGACACAAAAAAUACAAAUAAAACAUUUCUUUCAGGACAAGAUUAUCUGUAAAUCAGAUAAGAAGGAUUCUGAAAGUAAAAGAUACCUUAGUUGCUUACAUCAGAUGUAUUCCACCUCGCUCGCCAACGUGGAGUUCUGCAGGAGGAGUAACCUUCCAGAACAAACGAGGAGUAAGCCUGCCUCUCCAGGGAUGACCACAGCACCCCUCACCCUGGAACAAGUAAGUCAGAAGUCCCGUGUUCUGGUGGGCUUCUCUCUUUUCUCUGCCCAGACAGUUAGAGGGUGUGGUUCCCAGGAGAUCGAAGAACAAGUUAAAGCAGGAGUACAAGCCCCAGAUGCCCGAGUUGGGAGGUUGGGGUCAGAGCAGGACGCUGAGCUGAAGAUUAGAGUCGCAGCAGCUCUGGGCAGUGCCUGAAGGCAGGAGCGUGAGCGCCUGCCCUCCGUGGAGUGGGGGUGAAGGUCACGGCGGUUUUAGGGAGGCCGAGUGAGACGGGUGAGCAGCCGGAGAAUAUGGACGUUCCCACGAAGACGCAGCAGGAGGGUGAAGGGGCGUGAAUCUCCCCCCAGUUCCUUGGUGAGUAAGAGCAAAGAGCCAAGAAUUACAGUUAUAGUGGAGGUGAGGGCACUUCCCCACGGCACUUUGCCUUCAGAGUUUAUAUGUUGUUUUUUCUUUUUUGAUUCUAGGAGGCUAAGGCAGCAAGUCGAUACUGGACUAACUAUGUGGAUUGAGAAAGCGAAUGUAGUGUCUCACCUGCAUGAAAAGAAUGAAGAAAUGUUGAAACUCCCCCCAAAAUAAUUAAAUGGCAGAUUUCUUUUUCUUCAAAUUUAUGACAAGAAAAUAUGGUAUUAUCUAGUAAAUAAUAAUAUAAACCCAGAAAUAUGAAUAAAAAUCAGUAGAAAUAAGAAUCA